AUUGAACGCUGGCGGCAUGCCUUACACAUGCAAGUCGAACGGCAGCACGGGUGCUUGCACCUGGUGGCGAGUGGCGAACGGGUGAGUAAUACAUCGGAACGUACCUUAUCGUGGGGGAUAACGCAGCGAAAGCUGUGCUAAUACCGCAUACGCCCUGAGGGGGAAAGCGGGGGAUCGCAAGACCUCGCGCGAUUAGAGCGGCCGAUGCCUGAUUAGCUAGUUGGUGGGGUAAAAGCCCACCAAGGCGACGAUCAGUAGCUGGUCUGAGAGGACGGUCAGCCACACUGGGACUGAGACACGGCCCAGACGCCUACGGGAGGCAGCAGUGGGGAAUGUUGGACAAUGGGGGCAACCCUGAUCCAGCAAGGCCGCGUGAGUGAAGAAGGCCUUCGGGUUGUAAAGCUCUUUUGUCAGGGAAGAAACACCGGCUCUAACACAGUCCGGGAAUGACGGUACCUGAAGAAUAAGCACCGGCUAACUACGUGCCAGCCGCCACCGUAA
rnacentral:rRNA from 1 species